AUACUGAGCCUCAGCUUUUUGUAGUUUCUGAUUCAGCUCUUCUACUUGUUCUUCCAGAAGUUUGGCGCGUUGACGUUCAGUGUCUAAAUCAACAACUGACUUCUCUACAAUGACCUCCCUUUCUGCCUCCUUUCCCAAAACCAAUUCUUUCUGCUCUGCCAAGGUGCUGUGAGCAAGCUUUAGCUCAUUCUGAAGUUCCUUCACCUGUUCAACCAAAACAUCUUUUUCACCG
rnacentral:misc_RNA from 1 species